UACAGAGGGUGCAAACGUUGCUCGGAAUCACUGGGCAUAAAGCGCACGUAGGCGGUCUACUAAGUCUGGUGUGAAAUCCCUCGGCUCAACCGGGGAACUGCAUUGGAUACUGGUAGGCUUGAGAGUUGUAGGGGUGGACGGAACUCCAGGUGGAGCGGUGAAAUGCGUAGAUAUCUGGAGGAACACCGGAGGCGAAAGCGGUCCACUGGGCAACUUCUGACGCUGAGGUGCGAAAGCUAGGGUAGCAAACGGG
rnacentral:rRNA from 1 species